rnacentral:lncRNA from 1 species
GUAACAUUUUUUUAAUUUUCCUCCCCAAUAUUGCCAAAAAUUAAAGAAAUAUAAACAUUUGUCUCCAAUUUCAAUUUCAGCUUGGGUCAACUGUACUCCGCAGUUACCAUUUCAUCUCAAAAUCGGGAGCUUUAGUUUCUUCACUGUCCACCGUCCGCAAUUUCAAUUUCUUCGCUAUCCCCAAUUUCAAUUAAAGAAAUCGAUUCACUGUGCUCCGACUUCAUUUAGUUUAAUUUCUUCAAAAAGUCAAAAAGUCCGACCACUGUGCUUCGACUUCAUUAUGUUCUGACGCUGCUGCUCCGACUUCAGUUUUCAAAUUUGCACUUCAUCUUUAUGUAAGUUAUUUUGAAUACUCUUUUGUAUUUUGUGUACUUCAUCUUAAUUUGUUGUGUCUGAUUUCUUAUGUGGGUUUUGAGCUAAGGGUAUUUUGAAAACAUCUAUACCUCCUCGAGAUAGGAGUUAAGUCUGUGUACACCCUACUACCACACUGAUCCAGCCCAUUUUCAUACUAAUUCUAUCACUUAAAAUACUAUCGUUGGUAAUUUUUUGAUCUAUAUAUGCCAAAACAACACAAAGAGAAGCUGAGAGGGAGCUCCUGGCUCAUAAUGGUGUUUGGCUUGAACCUUCAUUUGUGUAUCUAGCUUCUAUAACCACGAAGUUGCCUGCUGAAGCUUGAAUUGGUUAUGAUAUCCUUCCUAGAGCCUUGGCUAAUGCAGGAUGCUUUAUCUAUCAAGUUGAAAAAACUUCUAUGUCGGGUACUACUGGUUAACAAGAUAGUAGUGGGGGCAUUCUUUGGCAAAGUUAAGAACAAGGUAACCAUUACUCUAUUUUAUAUGAAUAUAAAUACAAGUGAACGAUAUCUUGAUGUAGCUUUUUAAAUAUUCUUUCUUGAGAUAUAGCUUAGAGUAGUAAUAUGGGCAAAGGGUAAAACUAUUGCAAAGAUCAAUUUUCAUUCAUUGGACUUCUACCACUCCAUGUAAAUAAGACUGUAGACUGUAGUACUUCUAAUGAUCAGGCAUUAGCAAAUUUUAGUUAGAUUGUUCCAUGACUAAAUGAACAAGAAAUACACUUGGCUCUCAAGAAAUACAUCCUAAAGAACUAAAGAAAAUAGAUAGAGAAGGAUAUAUACAUGUACAUAAUACAACUAUAACGUACAUCCAGUGGCAACAAAAAACUCAAUCUUAAACAAUUUUAAAACCAAUUAAGGUUCUUACAACACUUGAAGAUAGACCAUUAGAGUGUUGAAUACAGAAGUUUCAAGUCUAGAUAAGCCAAGCCUCUGAAACAAUCUAUAUCUUCCAUAUUCAACAAUAGGACUCUGUGCACGAGCUAGAUCAUAUCUCGUCUGAUGAGUAAGUGAAGUACCAGUAUUGAUGUUUUCCUCAGAUGUGUGUAGUGCAUGUUGUAUAUUUAAAUAUUGACAAGAAAAAAUUACUCUAUAUAUAGGAGAAUGCAUGUUGAUAAUAAAGAAGUAUGAGACGAGUAUUUUAUUCCACAGUAAUUACUAAACUCAUUUUCUCAUCUUGCUCCAAUAGCUACCAACUCAUCAGAUAGUGAAGUGGUUGUGGCCAUAGUGUCAUUUCCUGAUUACAACCAUCUGAAUCAGCUUUUUGUUCUUGCUCACUUCAUCGUGUCCCAUAAUAUACCAGUAUACUUUCUCUCCCUUACUGAUCAGAACUAAGAUUUGGAACUCCACGUCUAAGGUGGUCUCGGAGCCUCAAACAUCCAAAUGAAAAUAUACGUUUCGUAAUCAAUAUCACUUUUAUUUACUUAGUUUUAUGUCAUUUCAUUGAUAAUUCUUAUAUACAAGAACUAUUUGGACAUGUGCGAAUAGGCUGGGAUUGUUUUCUUCAAGUUUCUUGUUCAAAAAUAAGUAAAAUUUGGGGAGGUAAAAAUCGAAGAAUAACUCUUGGAAAGUUGUAGUUGAAAUUAGGUGACCCUGUCUAUUUUUAUUUAUUUAUGUUCUUACUUUUUUAGUUCCCCAUAAUUUACGAUGAGCAUAAGAUGAAAUUUUGAGGCAACCUUUCAUCAUCUAAGCAAAGACAUAUAUUGGAAGGUUGUAGUUGAAAGGUUUUCCCCAAUAGGGUAUGGUAGAUGAGCUGUUAGUUUUAGAAAUUGGGGGUCUGAAUUAGGAAGAAAACGUGGCUCUAAAAGUUUUGAAUAGCGAAGUAAUCUAGUAUGGAUAUGAAUCAUGAAUUUAAUAUUUGAGAAUACAGAAAACAGACUGUAAAUGUCGGGUGAAAGUGGUAGAGAAAUGGAUUCGCUGUAUUCUACUUAAAUUUUAGAGGAUAUAUAAUGAAUUGAGUUUACAAAAAACUACAUAAACUUUCAAAUAUGGGAUGUGACAGAAGUACCAUUACUGAUACAUCUGUUAAUCACAUUAGAGCUUACUGCAUGAAUAACCAUGAUUUUUCUCUUCGAUAUGAUAGACCAUCUUUGAUGAUGAAGAGAUUUAAGAGGAUCUCAAGUCCAAUUUCACUUAUGCUCUUGCACCUACACUAAUGUGGAAUAAAAGUGUAGUUACAGUUGUUUUUUUUCUUACUCGACACUUUUUGUAUUGGAAGUAUAGUUACCUAUCUUGAUGUUUGUUAUCUUCACUUUUGACUUCUCAACUUCUUAGAGUGACUGUCGUCUUGGUUAUAUGGAUUAGUAGGUUCCAAUUGCACCAUUUAAAUUCCAACAUUAUAAUUUAAUUGUUCUACAUCAUUCUUUUUUUUUUGCCCUAUUGGUGGGGUUUAUGGGGAGGGGGAGGGGGAUUAUCAGGGGUGCCCUCAAUGACUAAGCUUAAGAUUUGAAGCGAAUGGGCAGAGAAUGAAGCAAGAUUUAAAGUUUAUGAGGUUAUUAGCUUAUUGUAUUCUAAAUUAGUGAACCUAUUCACAAUGCGUCACCUAUCUCAGACGAUUUGAUUUCACUCUUGUUGUCUUUUGAACUCAUCUUCUCUACCAACAGUUCAAGGUUUUGCAUUUUUAGAACUAGCUACUAGCUUGGUAGGAUAUGUUGUUAACUUUCCAAAAUAGGUUAUCGAUACCUUAGAUUUGAUCUUUAGUAGUUCAAGUCCCUUCUUUGUUGUGUAUUACUUCCCGUUUGCAAAUUGUUUUGAUGGAAUUUGUGUAAGCUGAGUGUAUAGGAAUCUCUAGGACCAAAAUUCUGAAAUUGUCAAUAUUUUAAGGACUAAAAAUAUAUAUUUUUAAAUAGUAUAACUCAAUUGGAUAAUGAUUUAUAAUCAUUAAAACAUCAGUUGGUAGCUUCAGUGCAAUAUAUUUGAGUUUGACAUUUAAAAGAGCAAACAUGAUAUUCAAUUUUUUAUAACUGCAAUAUUUACCAUCUUUUGAGGAGUAUUUGUUUUUACUAUGUCAUGGUAGUUUUCAUUAUUAUAUUUACAUUUUAAUCUACAAACAGGGGAUUGAGUAAAAUAUACUAGACCUUCUAGUGUUGUUAAAGCCAAUAACAGGUUAGUUCCUUACAUGGCAUAUAUCUAAAGUAUUUAUUUUUUUGAUAUCGUAAAUAAUGAAAAUCUUAAUGCUUCAAAAGUCGUAAGUUUUGCCAAUUAGGUGGUAAAUUUUAUUAGAGUGGAUUAAUCUUCCCUGCCGAAUUUUUUAGCCACUUCAUCUAAUUCAAAAUCAUAAAAUGUUACAACUAUAUAUUAAUGAUAGUAGAAAAGCAAUAGUUAAAAGAGUGUAAAAAAUAUGCAUAAUAAGUUUAAUAUUUGAAUAGUUAAAAUUACUUAUAAUUUGUAAAAUUUCUAGAUAAAGGUUAGAAGUACCAGUGUUUCAAUUCUAAUGCAAAUUAGAGCAACACACCCCAAAUACUAGCAUUAAGGUGUGAGAGAUCAAAACUACAAAAUCGCAAUAUCAGCUCCCCACCACACUCGGUAGUCAUCGACCUCGAUAGCUCCAUUUGGGUAGCUUUCACUUUACCACAAGUAGGUAGCUCUUAGCCAGAUAGGCCUUCACGGUACGAUGUGCACAGAGAAUGAUGUAUGGCUUUGAUAUCAUUAAUACAAACUUAUGAGAACCACACCCCAUAAGGUAGCUACUUAGGUGGGAGUACCCAAGGUUAUAUAAGACCUACAUUAACUCCCCAUUUAACCUAGGUGGGACUUUUUGUAAUAGGAUCAUAACAAUUAUCUAGAAAAAGCACUAAAAAGUUAAGUUAAAUACUAACUUUUCUAUAGAAUUUGAGUAGGAUUUAAUUACAUACACGAACCUGUCUUAAAAAAAUAGUUCCACGAGUUGUAAAAGGGAACUUUUCCCCACAACUAUUUUAGAAGGUUACCGCGCUUAGUAUCUAAAAUUGUUGUAUCAUCCAGAACUAGAAGAACCAUACCGCCCAAAUCAUUCAGAUUGAAACGAAGAUGUUGAAUAAGAGUCACCAUAACGUGAAAAGAAACCAAAUCCAGGCUCACGCAUCCCAUACAUGCUCGGGCCUGAUUCUUUGUGGUUGCUAAUGAACUCUUGCACAAAAAUAAGUGAAUACAGAAUUAUAAGCUAGCUAGGUUCUUCUUUUAUCAAUAUUUUUAUCCUUUAACAUUUUGUUUCUCCCAAUGUUUUAACGAUACAUAUGGAGCCGACAUAAACCUAUAACGAGGAGACCUCGAAGUAGUGAUAAAUCAGAAAAGGGACAAGAUAUGAACGAAUAAUUUCUAAUACCUAACUAAGAGUUUUGGUUUUGAUUGUACAUCUAUCUCUAAUUUAUUUAGAUAAAAGUGUUUAAAAACUAAUCAAUUUAAUCAGAAUAUUAGUAACAAUGAUUUUGCUUAUAAUACUAAUUUAAGUUUGAUGUACUGGUGCAGAAUAGUAGUGAAUUCAAAUCAAAUAAAUCAUAACAAGUUGAAAGUCCUAGAUUUCCUCUAAUACUCCAACUAUCAAUAGAAUGCGGACGAUGAGAUUUACUCUUGUUUGCACUUGGAUGAUCUAUGGUGAUACCAAAAAUGAAUAGUUCAUUGGAUAAAAAGAGUCACCUGCAAUUGAUCAUUGUUAAACAAAAUUGAAACAAUCUAUAAAGAUUAGAGAAAACAGCUUGUACAGUAUAAACACCUAAGUUUUUUUUUUUAUUUCUAUGGUGUACAAUGCACUUGGAAUAAAAUCCAGGCAAGUGCAAAGUUAGUUUUAGGAACUCAAUAUUGCACUGUAUGAUGAUACAUUAUUGACUUCCAGGUAUUUGAGUGGGCCAUAAGUCCAUCUUCUAUUUAAGAUCAGAGUUGAUAGGUUUGGGAGGCUGAGUUCAUACAUCUAGAUUUUAUUGCUUGGGAGGCUAUUAGGUUAUCCAAACUAUUAGAAUGUAUUUGUACGCGAUCUUAGGUGUAUUUAUACGCCUAAGCACCAUAACUUAUCCAUGUUUUAGCUAAGUUUACAGAACAAAAUUAGUGUUUAAAAACUAAUCAAUUUAAUCAGAAUAUUAGUAACAAUGAUUUUGCUUAUAAUACUAAUUUAAGUUUGAUGUACUGGUGCAGAAUAGUAGUGAAUUCAAAUCAAAUAAAUCAUAACAAGUUGAAAGUCCUAGAUUUCCUCUAAUACUCCAACUAUCAAUAGAAUGCGGACGAUGAGAUUUACUCUUGUUUGCACUUGGAUGAUCUAUGGUGAUACCAAAAAUGAAUAGUUCAUUGGAUAAAAAGAGUCACCUGCAAUUGAUCAUUGUUAAACAAAAUUGAAACAAUCUAUAAAGAUUAGAGAAAACAGCUUGUACAGUAUAAACACCUAAGUUUUUUUUUUUAUUUCUAUGGUGUACAAUGCACUUGGAAUAAAAUCCAGGCAAGUGCAAAGUUAGUUUUAGGAACUCAAUAUUGCACUGUAUGAUGAUACAUUAUUGACUUCCAGGUAUUUGAGUGGGCCAUAAGUCCAUCUUCUAUUUAAGAUCAGAGUUGAUAGGUUUGGGAGGCUGAGUUCAUACAUCUAGAUUUUAUUGCUUGGGAGGCUAUUAGGUUAUCCAAACUAUUAGAAUGUAUUUGUACGCGAUCUUAGGUGUAUUUAUACGCCUAAGCACCAUAACUUAUCCAUGUUUUAGCUAAGUUUACAGAACAAAAUUAGUGUUUAAAAACUAAUCAAUUUAAUCAGAAUAUUAGUAACAAUGAUUUUGCUUAUAAUACUAAUUUAAGUUUGAUGUACUGGUGCAGAAUAGUAGUGAAUUCAAAUCAAAUAAAUCAUAACAAGUUGAAAGUCCUAGAUUUCCUCUAAUACUCCAACUAUCAAUAGAAUGCGGACGAUGAGAUUUACUCUUGUUUGCACUUGGAUGAUCUAUGGUGAUACCAAAAAUGAAUAGUUCAUUGGAUAAAAAGAGUCACCUGCAAUUGAUCAUUGUUAAACAAAAUUGAAACAAUCUAUAAAGAUUAGAGAAAACAGCUUGUACAGUAUAAACACCUAAGUUUUUUUUUUUAUUUCUAUGGUGUACAAUGCACUUGGAAUAAAAUCCAGGCAAGUGCAAAGUUAGUUUUAGGAACUCAAUAUUGCACUGUAUGAUGAUACAUUAUUGACUUCCAGGUAUUUGAGUGGGCCAUAAGUCCAUCUUCUAUUUAAGAUCAGAGUUGAUAGGUUUGGGAGGCUGAGUUCAUACAUCUAGAUUUUAUUGCUUGGGAGGCUAUUAGGUUAUCCAAACUAUUAGAAUGUAUUUGUACGCGAUCUUAGGUGUAUUUAUACGCCUAAGCACCAUAACUUAUCCAUGUUUUAGCUAAGUUUAGAGAACAAAAUUCCUAGUUUCUUAUGUUUUUACUCUACUUCUAUGUAAUUGAUCUAACCGAUAUGAUUAGCAUGAUUUUAGGCAUUAAUGAGGUAGAUGAAGACAUAAUGGGACUAUGGAAUGCGGAUGACAUAUGACACAAGAGAGAGUAGCAGUUUGGACCAAAUGUGGCGCCUAAAAACUAUGUCCAAGACUAGUUUGUUAUUUAUAAUUUGUUCAGGGACUUAGAAGGCAAUUAUGAGAGAAAAGAUUAUUAAAAGGCUUAAUGCUGAAUUUUUAUUCAUUAUUGGAUUAUUAUGCAUUAGUUUUUGAAGAGGGAGAGUGGUGGCUUAGCUUGGAGAGAGAGAAAAAUAUUUUUCUCUUGUUCUUACAAUUCGCACACCAAGAUCAUCUUGUAGUUUUUGGUAUGAUGAAUAUUUCUAUUGUGAUUUUCGUUUUAUUCAUGAGUAGCUAAGUUUAUUAGUUAGGGUUAGACUUGUAGCAUACAAUCUAUCACUUUAGGUUUUGAAUUCAUUAUGCAUUGAUUUGUUUAUAUCAUUCUCUCUUCGCUUAUCUUGAAUUCUCGUGGUUGUAAACAUAGAGGAUAUGCCUUCAAACGCAACUUGUUCGAAAGAAAGGUUGAUGUUCAGAAAAGAGAGUAGUGACAAGAAAAUAGGAUUACCAACCCCUAUUUCAUAAGUUAAUGCCUUAGCAAGAUUAACUACUUGGAGAUUUCAUAUUGUUUUUUUGGUAAACACUUUUGAUUCGAGAGAACUAAAGUGAAUUAGUCCUUGAUGGUUGAGAAACACUAGGAUUAUGUUAUUAAAUACAAUACGAUUCUCUGUAAGCACGAUACAUGUAUGAAUUCAUAAAGCCCAUAGUUAAAAAGUAUUAAAAACUACAAGGUGGACAUAACCCUAGUUUGCUAUUUCUCUGAAUUUGAAUACUACUACACGUAUUUCAUCUUGUUAAACUGAAACCCUUAAUUUAUGAACUGAAUCAAAUACCUCCUAUUUAAUUUAUGAAAACGAACGAUUAAAAGUCAACUAAUCUGCAUACAACUUAAUUAGCACCAUAUUCCCUGUGGGAUUCGACCCCAACCUAGUUGAGUUAUAUAUUUGACAACGACUGCUUACUCUCUCGUAAGAGAGGUGUAAUUUAGGCGUAUCAAAUUUUGGCACCAUUGCCGGGGAAUACGGUUGUCGAUUGAGUUUAUGUGUGUUAAUUGACUAUUAGUUAAGUUUCCUGAUUUUAUGUUUGUUUGUUGUUUUUAUUCGUUACAGGCUCAUUGUUGUUUAUGCCACAAACCAAAAGUUCAGGAGAACCAUUAUUACCCUUUAAUCCUGAAUCUCAUCUCAUUGAAAGAAUGGCUAACUAACAGGAAGUUGAAAGAUUAGCUGCUUUGGCUAAUGCUCAAUUAAAUCUAUAGAAUGCAGAUAACCCAGGUCGGAUACCUAAUAUAAAUGAAGAAGACCUGGGAGAUGAUGAUUUAAUUAACCCGGCUAAUAAGAGGCGUGCAGCAGGGGUAGUUUCACCUGUAAAUCAAAAUUUUCCAUUCAGACAAAGACCAGACCGCCAAGCUGCACAGUUUGAUGUUGACAAUGAUGAGGACGAUUUAGAUGGAACUGGAUCUAUAGGAACAAUCAUUCUACCACCACUACCUCUUGGGGUGAAAUUCAACAUCACUAGUACUAUGAUCCAACUACUGAAUCUGAAAGGACUAUUUGGUAGAUUACCUAGUGAUGUUCCAAAUCUACAUUUGGUGAAUUUCAUCAGUAUUUGUAAGUCAUUUGAUAAUCCUAGAGUGGGGUAAAAUGCUAUUCGUCUAAGAUUGUUCCCAUUGUCUUUGUCUGGAGAGGCAACGAUGUGGUUGAAUGAGCUAACUCCUGAUUCUAUAACAAACUGGAGGCAAUUGAAAGAAGCAUUCCUAGAAAGGUUCUUUCAGCCCUCCAGAAUGUUACAGUUGAGGGAUGAGAUCAGGAACUUUAGGCAAUUGGCUAAUGAAGCUUUGCAUGAUACUUGGGAGAGGUUUAAAAAGAAGUUGACUCAAUGCCCAAACCAUAAGAUGACUGACGAACACUUGAUGGAAAUAUUCUACAAAGCUUUGAGCUCACUUACAAAGCCAAUAGUGGAUAAUGCUGCAAGAGGAGCUUUUAUGGAGCUCACCUUUAUUGAGGAUGCGAACAUGUUAGAAGGAAUGACUAAGACAAGUAGAUCUUAGUAUACCAGAGAUUCUGUGGUAGCAAGUAAUAUUGGGUCUAGUAUAAUAUCAGUAGAGCAGCUUAGGACAGAAGAGGAGCGUGAUUAGAAUAUGCCUCAUAUGAAAAUCCAGAUGGAUCUUCUCAUAAAAUAUUUACUAGCAAGGAAUAUAGAAAAGGUAAAAGUUAUGGGGUCCUAUAGUAAGGGAGCUGAAUCAAACACCGAGGAAGAGGCUAACUACUUACAUAACCAUGGGGGUUUCUGGAUCGGUGGUUAAGGAAACCAAGGUUGGAACCAUCAAGGAUAUUGGAAGAAUAAAAGUAAUAGGAGUGGACUGUAUGUACCUCCUGGAAGUCGUGAUAAUGCUGCCACCAGUUUAGGCAAAAUAUCCAUGGAGGACAUGAUGGAGAAACUAUUAAAGGGAGUUGAGGCGACCAAUUCUGGGGUGACUACUAUGAAGAGUGACAUAUCUUCCAUGAGUCAACUAGUAAACUCACACUCAAUUGCUAUUAAACAACCGGAGCAGCAGAUGAGCCAAUUAUCCACAGCAUUCAACCAAAGAUAGACAGGGACAUUACCAAGUAAUAUAGUACAGAAUCCGAUGAUUGAUGGAUCGUGUAUGGCCAUUACCACUAGGAGCAGUAAGAUGUUAUCUAGUCUAAGAUUAGAAGCAUCCUCUCAUACUGAUGCGAUCGAAAUAGAUUGGGAGAUGGUUGAUGAAUCUUCAGUGGUGCCUGUAGAGUUGGGAGGUUAAAAAAAAAGAGUGUAGAAGUGGAACAACCAACUAAGAUGAAGCAUGUUAGUGAUGUGGAGCAAGGCAUAAGAAAGGAGGUAAAAGUUGCUCCAACUGAAAUCCCAAGGCCACCACCCCCAUUUUUAUAAUGGUUAAAGAAUAAAGAAGAUGAUGGCAAGUUUAGCAAAUUCAUGGCUAUGUUGAAACAGUUGAUAGUGAAUGUGCCCUUAGUUGAAGCAUUGGAACACAUGCCCGGAUAUGCUAAAAUUAUGAAAGACCUGCUGACAAAGAAAAGGAAUGUGAGCUAUGAAAUGGUAGACAAUCUUCAUCAUUGUAGUGCUAUUGCUACAAGAUCUAUUAUCUAGAAGAGAGCUGAUUCGGAAGCAUUUACUGUUCCAUGUAUGAUUGGAUUGCUGAAGUUUGAAAAGGCCCUUUAUGAUCUUGGGGCAAGUAUAAAUCUUAUGCCACUGAUGGUUUUCAAGAAAAUGAGUUUGGGAGAUCUUACGCCCACCAAUAUGCAGCUUCUAAUGGCGGAUAGAUUGGUAAAAAGGCCGAUUAGGAUUCUACAUGAUGUACUUAUAAAAGUUGCGGAUUUUAUAUUUCCUGGCGACUUUGUAAUUCCUGAUUGCGAAGUGGACUUUGAAGUACCCAUAAUUUUGGGUAGGUCGUUCUUAGCAACUGGGAGAAUGUUAGUUGACAUAGAGAUGAAUGAUCUAAAAUUUUGGCUCAACGAGAAAGAAUUUAGUUUUGAAGUAUGUCGGCUAUGAAACAACAAAAGGAGAUGAGUGUCUUCUUGAUUGUUGAUGUAUUCUACAAAGAUGAGCGAGAUGUACCUGUUAAGGAUAGGUCUGUUGUGGAGACCAUAGCUAGUUUGGUUGAACUUACAAGCAAGGAUGUGAGUGACUUCAAAGUGGUUGGACUAGGAAUAAAGCAUUGUCUUAAUCCAAUAAAUGAGGGACAAAUGGUAUCAUCGAUGUAUCUUGAUGAAGUCUAAGUAGUCAAUAUAAUUGAGUCGUGCCGCGACGUUAAAUCAGGCGCUACAUGGGAGGCAACCCAUGAUUUUAUUUUCUCUUUAUCAUGUUAAACAAAAAUGCAAAAAGAAGAGUCGAGCCACGACCGAAACUACGGUGCUUGGUGGGAGGCAACCCAUCCUUCUAAUCAUUUUGUUUUUUUUUGAUUAAGUCUAGAUGCAUGAAGUACUAAGGAGGAGAUUAGUACCGAUUUUGGUUUGAAAUUGAGCCAUGUCAACGGUGGUAAGUUUAGGAGUGAUGGGAACAUUGCAGGUAAGUUGGAGUGGUCAAAUGUGUAGAGCUUAAGUAUGAUUUGUGUUAGAGUCGUGCCCCGAUCUAUGUUAAUCUGACCCCAAAAUUUUCACGGUGUAACUUUAUUUUGUGACUUUCAAUGAGGUCUGUGGUGGUAGCGUAGGGGUAUGGACCUUUCUCACUGCCUCAUAUGAAAAAUAUUGUGCAUAGUGUUGGAUUUUAAGUGUACUAUUGCAUCGCACACCUUCAUGUGUGAGACCAAAAGUGCACCAUACAUCCCAUCGCACAUGCUCACUGGACCAACUAUGCGAUGCACAAUGCGCCGCACACCUUGAUGUAUGCGAUAACUUAUGCAUCGCACACUUUAACAUGUGCGAUAAGAUAUGCGUCGCACACAUUAGAGAGCUUCUUUCAAGCCCUUGGUGUGAUUUAUGAGAUUAUUUAUGGUAAAUCUGAGAGCAUUAUUUGAAGAAGAAUUUGAACUUGUUGAUCACAUUAUCUAAAGAAUAAGUCAUAGAUAAAGAAUUUUAGGGUAACACAUGAGUAGAUUGGAGUUUCUGAAGGAAUGACUUUACAGCACGAUCUAGAGUAUGAAAAGAGGGAAACUUUUCUUAAAUGCCUUGUAGCCUCUCGAAGAAAAGUACAGACAUCUCCAUACCAUUCUACAAGACUCUACUAGAUAUGGAUUCACAGACACCCUAGGACACUUGAAACUUAGGCUCUGAUACCAAGUUUAUAACGCCCCAAAAAUGGGUCUCGAGAUGUCACAUGAUGCUUAGAACCACAAGUGAUCCAAGGUAACCCUUCUAUUGGCAUAUCCGAUAAGUAACUGAAUAAAAUACAUAAAUCUGAAUGAAAUAAGUGGAAGAUGGAUGUUUUUUUGAAUCUGAUCAAUACAAUACUAAAUUAAAAUGAUUACAACUCUACUUUUACAAAUCCAACUGAAAUCCCAAGGCCACCACCCCCAUUUUCAUAAUGGUUAAAGAAUAAAGAAGAUGAUGGCAAGUUUAGAAAAUUCAUGGCUAUGUUGAAACAGUUGAUAGUGAAUGUGCCCUUAGUUGAAGCAUUGGAACACAUGCCCGGAUAUGCUAAAAUUAUGAAAGACCUGCACACAAAGAAAAGGAAUGUGAGCUAUGAAAUGGUAGACAAUCUUCAUCAUUGUAGUGCUAUUGCUACAAGAUCUAUUGUCUAGAAGAGAGCUGAUUCGGAAGCAUUUACUGUUCCAUGUAUGAUUGGAUUGCUGAAGUUUGAAAAGGCCCUUUAUGAUCUUGGGGAAAGUAUAAAUCUUAUGCCACUGAUGGUUUUCAAGAAAAUGAGUUUGGGAGAUCUUACGCCCACCAAUAUGCAGCUUCUAAUGGCGGAUAGAUUGGUAAAAAGGCCGAUUAGGAUUCUACAUGAUGUACUUAUAAAAGUUGCGGAUUUUAUAUUUCCUGGCGACUUUGUAAUUCCUGAUUGCGAAGUGGACUUUGAAGUACCCAUAAUUUUGGGUAGGUCGUUCUUAGCAACUGGGAGAAUGUUAGUUGACAUAGAGAUGAAUGAUCUAAAAUUUUGGCUCAACGAGAAAGAAGUUAGUUUUGAAGUAUGUCGGCUAUGAAACAACAAAAGAAGAUGAGUGUCUGCUUGAUUGUUGAUGUAUUCUACAAAGAUGAGCGAGAUGUACCUGUUAAGGAUAGGUCUGUUGUGGAGACCAUAGCUAGUUUGGUUGAACUUACAAGCAAGGAUAUGAGUGACUUCAAAGUGGUUGGACUAGGAAUAAAGCAUUGUCUUAAUCCAAUAAAUGAGGGACAAAUGGUAUCAUCGAUGUAUCUUGAUGAAGUCUGAGUAGUCAAUAUAAUUGAGUCGUGCCGCGACGUUAAAUCAGGCGCUACAUGGGAGGCAACCCAUGAUUUUAUUUUCUCUUUAUCAUGUUAAACAAAAAUGCAAAAAGAAGAGUCGAGCCACGACCGAAACUACGGUGCUUGGUGGGAGGCAACCCAUCCUUCUAAUCAUUUUGUUUUUUUUUUAUUAAGUCUAGAUGCAUGAAGUACUAAGGAGGAGAUUAGUACCAAUUUUGGUUUGAAAUUGAGCCAUGUCAACGGUGGUAAGUUUAGGAGUGAUGGGAACAUUGCAGGUAAGUUGGAGUGGUCAAAUGUGUAGAGCUUAAGUAUGAUUUGUGUUAGAGUUGUGCCCCGAUCUAUGUUAAUCUGACCCCAAAAUUUUCACGAUGUAACUUUAUUUUGUGACUUUCAAUGAGGUCUGUGGUGGUAGCGUAGGUGUAUGGACCUUUCCCACUGCCUCAUAUGAAAAAUAUUGUGCAUAGUGUUGGAUUUUAAGUGUACUAUUGCAUCGCACACCUUCAUGUGUGAGACCAAAAGUGCACCAUACAUCCCAUCGCACAUGCUCACUGGACCAACUAUGCGAUGCACAAUGCGUCGCACACCUUGAUGUAUGCGAUAACUUAUGCGUCGCACACUUUAACAUGUGCGAUAAGAUAUGCGUCACACACCUAGACACAUAUGCCCACUGCCUUAAGUCUAUGAUACCUUAUGCGACACACACCUUGAUGUCUAUGAUAGGUAGUGCGUCGCCCACUUCUCCGUAUAGGCUCACUGUCCCAACUGUGAGACAACAUAUGCGACAUACACUUUGAGAUGUGCAUCGCACACUUAGUCUAAAUACGCCUAAAACCUGACUUCCAACUUUAACUUGGGUUAACCCGACCCAGGUUUUCAUUCUUCAAAUAAACUUCACACCCUAAAUGCCCAAAUUCAUCCUUAUUUCACCCUUAAGCCAUCCAAUAUUGAGCUCUCACCAUUCUCUUUGUCCUUCACUAAUCUUCCAUCUUCAAGGUAUAUUUUACUUUUUUUAAUCCUUAUUUAUUGUGACUCUAUGUUAUAGUUAAUUGAUUUCUUAAGGAUUACGAAUUAAAUUCUUGCCAUGGCGAUGUUGUGAAAGUGAUGGUGUUUUGUAUAUUUUGGUAUAGUUGAAAGUGUAGAGCAUGAUUCUAUUUAAAAAGUGCUUCAUUGAAAUAGAAUUAGGGGAAUUAAAGUGAGUGAAUUGUAUUGCGAAUAAUGUAGGUGCACCAUACCAAAGUGUAUGUCGGCUAAGUUUGAGUACCCGAUAAUAACACUUAAUUGGUUUAUACUAACAAAUUAAGUGUGGGGUGGUGACUUCACCACCUUCAUCUUAAUUAUAGUUAGUUUUAUUAUGUGUGGCUGACGUGGAUGAUAUGAUGAACACAGAAAAAAUAGAUCUGAUAAUGAUCUCAAUGUAGGUGGCAUGACUUCUAAUGUGGAUGAGGAGUACUACUAGCCAGGUUCUUUAUCUUGUUAUUUGCAUUGGGGAUAGUGCUGAGCUUGAGUGUGGGGUGACUGGUUACUUUGCUACUUGUUUUGUAAGAAAAAUAGUACCUUCUCCUUAGCAUUCUUCUGUGAUAGGAUUGGUUAUUUUAUUUAUUUUGUUUCUUGUUAGAUGUUUAUUCUAUUUAGUCAUAAUUAGGUGCUUUUCUCAAUGAUGGAUGGAUGAAGACCGUCUUAAGACAUGUAACUGUUCUUGUGUAUCACAUGAAAUUAUAACAUAAGUAUGUGAUGGAUCAUUACGUUUGAAACACCUAGGCUCUAGUUAUGACUCUUGUUGUGUUUGUUGAUUUUAUUUGAAUUCGUGUAAUUAUUGCAUCAAGAAUCUAUAAUGUUCCUAUUUGGGUUGAUCAUGUGCCAUGAGUGUGUAAGACUAUUGUAUAUUCCUUAUUGCAACUGAUGCUAGAACUUUCCUGGUGUGUGUACAAAGCGAAAUAAAGAUUGUGUUUGAUAGCCAUUUUUCAUACCUUCUUUUGACCUACCUUUGUACAUUAUCUUAUCUAGCCCCAUUGAGCCUUUAGAUUGUUCUUUUGUUAGCCUCAUAUUUAGCCUAAUCCGUUCUUUAAUAGACCGUAAUUUGUUCCAAAAGCUCCUAAGCUCUUUAAUGUAAAAUCAAUUUGAGUUAAGAGUUUGACAAUUAGAGGAAAAAGGUGAAAUUGAUGCCUCAAAGUCUAGUUAUUGGCGUGUGAAAUUGAUGUGGAUGGGAGUAGCAAAAAUUUUUUAAAAAAAGUUCCAAAUUUUAUCCCGGACAUGUUACAAUGAACCUAUUUUGGCCCUAGUCCUUCUUGGACAUUGUGCACCUCAACUAAGGCAAAUCUCUUAAGUUGAGGGUAGCUAUUAUAGGGGUGCGUAACGUGAAAAGAUUGUAAAAAAAUAUAUUUAAAAGAAUUGUAUGCUCCCACCAUAGUGUUAUUAAUUGAGCUUAACGAGUUAGGGUGAAAAGCAAAUUUGUGAAGAUAGCAGAAGUGGAAGUUGGUUGUUAGAGAUUGGUCUUAAUUGCAUAAUGUAGUGUAUUAAAGNNNNNNNNNNNNNNNNNNNNNNNNNNNNNNNNNNNNNNNNNNNNNNNNNNNNNNNNNNNNNNNNNNNNNNNNNNNNNNNNNNNNNNNNNNNNNNNNNNNNNNNNNNNNNNNNNNNNNNNNNNNNNNNNNNNNNNNNNNNNNNNNNNNNNNNNNNNNNNNNNNNNNNAGUGAAGUAUUUCACUAAGGUCAAGCAUAUGGUCAUCAGUUGUAAUUUGAGAAUUCUUUGUGAGAGUGAGCGCAACUUGAUUCUUGUACCCAUUUUGUUAGAAAUUGCAUGAUUGAGAGUGAUUAUGGUUAACUUUCUUGUUGUGAGGGCACAUGGUUGAUGGAGGUUUGGUAAUUUAUAUGAUUUCUUUUCUUAAAUGGUAUGCAUGAAAUUGCCAACUUAAUGAGUCUAUUCUUGAGGGUAGGUUGUCUCUAGUAAUGAUUGCUGAAUCUACUUCUUGUUCAUAAUUAUUGUGUGAGCCUAUUUGAGCAUCUUGUCUUCUUUUGUGGGUGCUAAGGCUUGUUGAGUAUGCAUAAAUGGAUAUGUUGUUUGAGGAAGAACAAAGCUUCAAGUGUAGGAUGGUGAUCUUGGGUGUAUUUAUACGCCUAAGCACCAUAACUUAUCCAUGUUUUAGCUAAGUUUAAAGAACAAAAAGUCUAGUUUCUUUUGUUUUUACUCUACUUCUAUGUAAUUUAGCUAACCGAUGUGAUUAGCAUGAUUUCAGGUAUUAAUGAAGUAGAUGAAGACAUAAUGGGCCUAUGGAAUGCGGAUGGCAUAUGACACAAGAGAGAGUAGCAGUCUGGACCAAAUGUGGCGCCUAGAAACUAUGUCCAAGACUAGUUUGUCAUUUAUAAUUAGUUUAGGAACUUAGAAGGCAAUUAUGAGAGAAAAGAUUACUAAAAGUCUUAAUGCUGAAUUUUUAUUCAUUAUUGGAUUAUUCUGCAUUAGUUUUUGAAGAGGGAGAGUGGCAGCUUAGCUUGGAGAGAGAGAAAAACAUUUUUCUCGUGUUCUCACAAUUCGCACACGAAGAUCAUCUUCUAGUUUUUAAUAUGAUGAAUAUUUCUAUUGUAAUUUUUUUUUAUUCAUGAGCAGCUAAGUUUAUUAGUUAGGGUUAUGGAAGCCUUGUAGCACAUAAUCUAUCAUUUUGGAUUUUGAAUUUAUC